rnacentral:lncRNA from 1 species
AUUCAGUGGGAUCAAUUCCAUCUUGACUCACACACCGACUUGAUAAGUACUUUACUGCACUCAGUAGCCUUUCAUCAUUGAAUUAGAAACUCAGAUGAUCCGAUACUAAAGUACAGUCAAUUGCUUAUAAGUCACUAUGGUGAUCUCAAGACUUAGGAACACUUAUAUCCAUACCCUUUACGAGCUACUUUUGACAGCAGAGUGCUUGGCAAAUGGUCACAUUCGAUGCGAAUGUACUCCUACAUUCUAUCUGUAUGCCAUACUAGUAUCUCUACAUUCGGUUAAGAGGAUAACCAACUCAUAUGGCACACAAUGACCUAUACUC